rnacentral:ncRNA from 1 species
CAGCGUUCUCAGGGCAGGGUGCAAGUCCCUACCGGCGGUAACUGCGCAUGCAGAAGCCCGCGAGCGCCUGUUGCAAGCGUGUUCUGUGCGCAAGAUGCGCUCAGCCUCAUCCAUGCCGAUGACGAGCAGCCGCGAGGCUCCCUUGCGGCGGCGAGGGCGGGGGGAGUGGAAUCGGGCGGCCAGCGCCGGUGUGUCACCUGCAAAAAGCGGUGGGCGCCCGGCUUGGCCGGGUGCUUGAUGCCGUGGCAAUCACGGUACGGGCAUGCUGUGCAGGCAGGCGCGACAGGGUCAGCAGAUCCGGUGUGAUUCCGGGGCCGACGGUGAUAGUCCGGAUGAAAGAGAACGCGA